rnacentral:rRNA from 1 species
GACGAACGCUGGCGGCGUGCUUAACACAUGCAAGUCGAACGCUGAAGCUCAGCUUUUGUUGGGUGGAUGAGUGGCGAACGGGUGAGUAACACGUGAGUAACCUGCCUCCUUCUUUGGGAUAACGCCCGGAAACGGGUGCUAAUACUGGAUAUUCACUGAUCUUCGCGUGGGGGUUGGUGGAAAGGGUUUUUCUGGUGGGGGAUGGGCUCGCGGCCUAUCAGCUUGUUGGUGGGGUGAUGGCCUACCAAGGCUUUGACGGGUAGCCGGCCUGAGAGGGUGACCGGUCACAUUGGGACUGAGAUACGGCCCAGACUCCUACGGGAGGCAGCAGUGGGGAAUAUUGCACAAUGGGCGCAAGCCUGAUGCAGCGACGCCGCGUGAGGGAUGGAGGCCUUCGGGUUGUGAACCUCUUUCGCUCAUGGUCAAGCCGCAACAAUGGUUGUGGUGAGGGUAGUGGGUAAAGAAGCGCCGGCUAACUACGUG